rnacentral:rRNA from 1 species
AACGAACGCUGGCGGCAGGCCUAACACAUGCAAGUCGAGCGCCCUCGCGAGGGGGAGCGGCGGACGGGUGAGUAACGCGUGGGAACGUGCCUCUUGCUUCGGAAUAGCCUCGGGAAACUGGGGGUAAUACCGAAUGUGCCCUACGGGGGAAAGAUUUAUCGGCAAGAGAUCGGCCCGCGUUGGAUUAGGUAGUUGGUGGGGUAAUGGCCUACCAAGCCGACGAUCCAUAGCUGGUUUGAGAGGAUGAUCAGCCACACUGGGACUGAGACACGGCCCAGACUCCUACGGGAGGCAGCAGUGGGGAAUCUUAGACAAUGGGCGCAAGCCUGAUCUAGCCAUGCCGCGUGAGCGAUGAAGGCCUUAGGGUUGUAAAGCUCUUUCGUGGGGGAAGAUAAUGACUGUACCCCAAGAAGAAGCCCCGGCUAACUCCGUGCCAGCAGCCGCCGUAA